ensembl:lncRNA LINC01748 long intergenic non-protein coding RNA 1748
GGGAAGAAAAGUCAGUAGAGAAGGUAGGCAGUGCUUGCAAAGGCCUGAGUCUGAGGUACUUCUUUAUAGCACUGCAAGAAUGGACUAAUACGCUAUGUGAAGACAAAGGGGAUGUCUGCAAGCCAGGACGAGUGCGUCUACCAGAAACUGAGUUCUGCUGGACUUUGAUCUAGGACAUCCAGCCUCCAGAAUGGAAUGUGCCAUAUGUGGAGACCUGCAUGGAAAGGAACUGAGGAUGCUCUCUCACUAAAAGCUAGAAGGAACUGAGGCCCUCAGUCAACAGUCUACAAGACACUGAAUCUUGCCAGCAGCCAAGCAGUGAGCUUGAAAGCAGAUCUAUCAUCAGCUGAACCUUCAGAUGAGACCGCAGCCUAAGCAGAUACCUUGGUUGCAGCCAUGUGAGACAACCUGAAACAGAGGGCACAGCUAAGCCUCAGCCAGGUUCAUGACCCUCUGAGGAAACUGUGAGAAAGCAAAUGUCAUUUUAAGCUAUUUAAUUUUGGAGGUAGUUUAUUACACAACAAUAAAUAACUAUUAUAAUUAUCUUGAGGAUUUAUUUCCUGGGGAGAAUACAUGGAAUUGCAUAUAUAGGUCCUCAUAUGCAGAAUACUGGUACCCUAGAGAUGUUCACCCCAGAGAUGUUUUAGGAACCUGUGAAUAUGUUACAUUAAAUGGCAAAGUUUUCCUGGAUGGUUUAAGUUUAAGAUGGAAAAGUUUUACUGGAUUAUCCAGUGGGUCCAAUCUAGUAACAUGAGUCCUUAAAAAUGGAGAAUAUUUUUUGGCCAUGAUCAGAGAGACAUGUGAUGAUGGAAAAAGUGUCAGAGAUGCAAUGUGAGGGGACUAAAACUGCUGUUGCUGACUUUAAAGAUGGAGAGAGGGGAACCCGAGUCAAGGAAUGCAAAUGGCCUCUGGAAGCUGGAAAAAGCAAGAAAUGGAUUCUCCUUUAGAGCCUGUGGAAUAAAAUGCAGUCAUGCUGACACCUUGAUUUUACCUCAGUGAGACCAAUACUGGAGUAUGACCUUCGGAGCUGAAUAAAAUUAUACGUACACAUCUUAAUUUCUUGGGAUUUGAUUACUUCUUCUGCUUUGAAAUUAGACCAAGUUUAGCCUGCCUUUGCUAUUUUGGCGUAUCUCCAAUUCUUCAUGAUUUUCUCAUAGUGUUGCCUCCAUAUGAUGCAAAAUAUCCAACCUAGCCCUGACAUGAAAACUUAAUUGAAAGUAUCCAACAGUGGAAAAUUGUUGAACAUCUACAUACGAAGAUGAAGGGAAAACUUGAAAGCAGUCAGAGGAAAAAAAAGGACACAUUACCUUCAAAUGGACAAUAAGAUGGAUGGCUAAUUAAAAUAUUAUUGCAGUAUAAUUGAUGUUUGCUACAUUGUACAUAUUUAAAGUGUACAAUGUGAUCAUUUUCCACGUAUGUAUAUACAUGUAAAAGCAUCACCGGAAUAAAGAUUACAAACAUUUCUGUUACUCCUCAGAGUUCCUUAUGCCACUGUGUAAUCCAACCAUCCUCUACCCCAUCCCCAGAAAACUGAUUUGCUUUCUGUUACUGUAAUUAGUUUGGAUAUCCUAUAAUUUUUCAUAUGGAUGGAAAUGCAGUAUGUAUUUUGCCUGGCUUCUUUUACUCAGCAUAGCAAUUUUGAGAUUUAUUCAUUUUGUUGC